rnacentral:rRNA from 1 species
UACGGGGGGGGCAAGCGUUGUUCGGAAUUACUGGGCGUAAAGGGCUCGUAGGCGGCCAACUAAGUCAGACGUGAAAUCCCCAGGCUCAACCUGGGAACUGCGUCUGAUACUGGAUGGCUUGAAUCCGGGAGAGGGAUGCAGAAUUCCAGGUGUAGCGGUGAAAUGCGUAGAGAUCAGGAAGAACACCGGUGGCGAAAGCGUUCUGCUAGACCUGUACUGACACUGAGGGACGAAAGCUAGGGGAGCGAAUGGG